UGGAGUAUAGCCCAAGUGGUAAAGCAUCGGUUUUUGGUACCGGCAUGCAAAAGGUUCGAAUCCUUUUACUUCCA
rnacentral:tRNA from 1 species